CCGCCCGCAGGGGCCGUAGGGUGGGCCGGCGCGUGCUUGUGCGCUUUCCCGCCUCAGCGAGAGCAGGAAAAGAGCCGGCGAGCGGCGGGAAGGAACGCAUGGGCCCGCUCAAGUGUCACUUGAGGAUUAUAAGCAACUGCUAGGUAAGCAAAAUCAGUUAUUGCUAUGAAUCAAUACGCAGAUAGAAAGCAACAUUAUCAUGGCAAAGGGUAAAAGCUUUCAUAUACCUUGAGGAAUACAAAAACAAGUAGUCAUGAUUAAAAUUUAAUAACAACCUUAGCUUAUAUUAAAGUAAUGAAGGUACAAUGGAUAUAUAUGCUAUUGGUUAAAAAAAAAUAAUAAAAAAAAAUAGCACCUGAAAAUAUUCUUUACGUUAUUUACUUAAAUUUUUAGUGGCAGUGAGUCCAAUGAGUCAAUCAUUCUGCUUUUGUCUCUGUGGUUUUAAAUGCUGAAUUUGAGUGUGUAUGGGAUGCUGAAUCACGGCCUGAACCUCUGAUUGAUCACCUGAGGCGAGCAAUGAGUCAACCACGGGAGCACAGGUGAAGGCAAUUCACCUGUGCUGCAGGAAGGGGUGGAGCCUGGCUGCACCUCUCCUAGACCCAUUUAAGAACUGACUGCCAGGGGGGAAUGAUCUCUUCUGGAGAUCCCUCCUCUGGAGUUUUGCAGUAAACCCAGGACGUGGGUAAGCAUUCUAUAUAUUCUCUUUUUGUUAUUAUAAUCUGCUUUGUCAAAUUCUCUUGAUUUUUUUUUUUCAUACUUAUAACAUCUUUAUCUUAUAUGAUUAUAUAGAGUGUUAAUGCAUAUGAGGAAUAGACUGCUACAAAGCUCUGAGGGUCUGGAUUGCUUUAGCAGAUAGCUAUCCUACUUUUAUUACAUUACUUCAGUGUUCUACAGUUGAAUUUUUGAUUUAGUAAACAAACUUUAAAAAAGCCUCACUUUUUUUGGUAACGCAUUUUUAAUCAAAUAUGUGCAACUAGAUGGCAAAACUGGAUUAUUUUUUCUGUAUCUUUCUGCACUGUACUAGCAAUAUAUGACAGUCCGAGCUAUGAUGUAGU
rnacentral:lncRNA from 1 species